rnacentral:tRNA from 6 species
GUCUAGAGGCCUAGGACACCACCCUUUCACGGUGAUUACAGGGGUUCGAAUCCCCUA